AACGUAGGACACGAGCGUUAUCCGGAGUUACUGGGCGUAAAGGGCGUGCAGGCGGUUUUGGAAGUUUGAUGUGAAAGCGCCCGGCUUAACCGGGCGAGGACAUUGGAGACUGCAAGACUAGAGGCAGAUAGAGGGGUGUAGAAUUCCGGGUGUAGUGGUGAAAUGCGUAGAGAUCCGGAGGAAUACCAGAGGCGAAGGCGGCACCCUGGGUCUGACCUGACGCUGAGACGCGACAGCAUGGGGAGCGAACGGG
rnacentral:rRNA from 1 species